AGGGCUAUAGCUCAGUUAGGUAGAGCACCUCGUUUACACCGAGAAUGUCUA
rnacentral:tRNA from 2 species